CGCGUAGGUGGUAGUGUAAGUCUGGGGUGGAAUGCCGGGGCUUAACCCUGGAAUUGCCUUGGAAACUGCAUUACUUGAGUCAGUGAGGGGAGGGUAGAAUUCCUGGUGUAGCGGUGAAAUGCGUAGAUACCAGGAGGAAGGCCUGUGGCGAAGGCGGCCCUCUGGUGCUGGACUGACACUGAGGCGCGAAAGCGUGGGGAGCAAACAGGAUUAGAUACCCUGGUAGUCCACGCCCUAAACGGUGGGCACUAGGUGUAGGGCUCGUAAGGGUUCUGUGCCGAAGGGAAACCAUUAAGUGCCCCGCCUGGGGAGUACGGCCGCAAGGUUGAA
rnacentral:rRNA from 1 species